rnacentral:rRNA from 1 species
UUCGGCCUACGGGGCGCAGCAGUAGGGAAUUUUCGUCAAUGGGCGCAAGCCUGAACGAGCAAUGCCGCGUGAACGAGGAAGGUCUUCGGAUCGUAAAGUUCUGUUGAAGGGGAAAAAGAGCGGAGAGAGGAAAUGAACUCCGAUUGAUAUUACCCUUCGAGGAAGUCACGGCUAACUACGUGCCAGCAGCCGCGGUAAUACGUAGGUGGCGAGCGUUAUCCGGAAUGAUUGGGCGUAAAGGGAGCGCAGGCGGCACGGCAAGCCUGAUGUGAAAGCCCGCGGCCCAACCGCGGGACGGCAUUGGG